rnacentral:rRNA from 1 species
GACGGAGGAGCGCAGCGUGUUGAAUUGAACUGGGCGUAAAGCGUGCGCAGGCGGUUCGUCGUGUCCGAUGUGAAAGCCCCGGGCUCAACCUGGGAAUGGCAUUGGAAACUGGCGGACUCGAGUGUGGCAGAGGGGGGUGGAAUUCCGCGUGUAGCAGUGAAAUGCGUAGAGAUGCGGAGGAACACCGAUGGCGAAGGCAGCCCCCUGGGCUAACACUGACGCUCAGGCACGAAAGCGUGGGGAGCAAACAGG